rnacentral:rRNA from 1 species
UACGUAGGUGGCAAGCGUUGUCCGGAUUUAUUGGGCGUAAAGAGCUCGUAGGCGGCUUAGUAAGUCGGGUGUGAAACCUCCAGGCUCAACCUGGAGACGCCACCCGAUACUGCUGUGGCUAGAGUCCGGUAGGGGAGAGUGGAAUUCCUGGUGUAGCGGUGAAAUGCGCAGAUAUCAGGAAGAACACCCGUGGCUAAGGCGGCUCUCUAGUACGGUACUGACGCUGAGACGCGAAAGCGUGGGGAGCGAACAGG